UACGAAGGGGGCUAGCGUUGCUCGGAAUCACUGGGCGUAAAGGGUGCGUAGGCGGGUCUUUAAGUCAGGGGUGAAAUCCUGGAGCUCAACUCCAGAACUGCCUUUGAUACUGAAGAUCUUGAGUUCGGGAGAGGUGAGUGGAACUGCGAGUGUAGAGGUGAAAUUCGUAGAUAUUGGGAAGAACACCGGUGGCGAAGGCGGCUCUCUGGACCGUAACUGACGCUGAGGCGCGAAAGCGUGGGGAGCAAACAGG
rnacentral:rRNA from 1 species